rnacentral:rRNA from 1 species
UACGAAGGGGGCUAGCGUUGCUCGGAAUCACUGGGCGUAAAGCGCACGUAGGCGGAUUGCUAAGUCAGGGGUGAAAUCCUGGAGCUCAACUCCAGAACUGCCCUUGAUACUGGCGAUCUUGAGUCCGGGAGAGGUGAGUGGAACUGCGAGUGUAGAGGUGAAAUUCGUAGAUAUUCGCAAGAACACCAGUGGCGAAGGCGGCUCACUGGCCCGGUACUGACGCUGAGGUGCGAAAGCGUGGGGAGCAAACAGGG